rnacentral:rRNA from 1 species
AGUGAACGCUGGCGGUAGGCCUAACACAUGCAAGUCGAACAGCAGCACAGGAGAGCUUGCUCUCUGGGUGGCGAGUGGCGGACGGGUGAGGAAUACAUCGGAAUCUACCUUUUCGUGGGGGAUAACGUAGGGAAACUUACGCUAAUACCGCAUACGACCUACGGGUGAAAGUGGGGACCGCAAGGCCUCACGCGAUUAGA